UCAAAUUAAUAUUAUUAUCUGUUAUCUGAGCAAAUAAAUUCUUGAUUUUAAUAAUAAACAUUAGGUUUAACACAAAAGAGAAGUUCUAAAAAAAACCCUGAAUGUACAAGUUCUGUUUUAUCUGCAUGUUACGACUAAAAAUACAUGGUUAAAAAGAGAUAAAUUUCUUAAAUUUGGUCAGUUUUAUCUCCAAUAUCUAAUAUCAGCAUCAUGUAAGUAAGCAUUUUCCCAAUAAGAGCACUAAAUGACAUUUUAGAUAAGCUAGUGUAGAGCUAGUUAAUUUGAUAUAUCUACUGUUUUUUCAGUAAGGUGUUCAGUAAAUUGAAAGUCUGCUUUCCCCCUCUUUAAAAUAUUGUAUGUUUUUUGCACUGUAUAGAAAUGAGACUGUGUCUUGAAAGACAGACAACCUUUUAAAAGUCAGAUAAAUGUAAACUCAUCAUUCAACUUAGCAAUUAGUAAUACGUUUUACGUCUAUUCAGAAUUAUUUUUCUCUGGCAAGGACUAUUAUUCUACUUUUUUUGUUGUUGUUGAUUCUCCUUCACUUUUUGACAUUUUUAUAUUUUUGGCUGAAAUGUUCGUUAUCAUGCUUAAUCCAAUUUUUUAAGUCUGUAGGCUCCCCCAUUCUCUUAACUAAAACUUGCCUAAAGUUUCUGUAUGAAACUGAAAUGAGAUUUAAGGAGUAAGAGAUUUGCAUUUUGUUGUGUUGAUGUUUAUCUCUAGUAAAACAGACAAUGAAGCUGUUGCAUAUUUCCAGACUACUAAAAGUAGAAUUAACCCUUCUAUUCAAAAGAUGAAAAGUUGUUAAGUAUAACUACAGGGAAUAAAAAAAGUUCUGCAGUCAAGAGAUGAAAAUACUGUUGUGCAAAAGGAAGCGAGAGUCCCUUUGCUCUACUCUUGCCCCAAGAAAACACAUUGUGCAGGUGUAUAUUUAGAACCAAGGACGGAUGUCAUAUGGUAGGUCCCUCAGGCUGCCUGACAGCCAGCAAACUGCUAAAGAAGGGGUAACAGCUGCUUCCAGUAAAACUGCAAUGAAGAUGGAAGUGGAUUAAACCCAAAUUUGCUGCCCAGAUCUCAAAGGAACAAAUAUGGAAAAAAGGCAUCCUGUGCCUGAGGAAACUGCUUAAUACCAUCAAAUGAGAGAGCUCCAAUAAUGUAUCAAAGACCAAAUACAAGACAGUUGAGAGACACUUGGAAGUUGGAACUGCACAAACUUCUCACACUUGACGCAGUAGGCCAUCCUGAAAGGUGUUAUACCAGAGAGACAGCUGCCUGGAAAUGUGGGUACAUCAACAAAAAUAUCAACAUACCGACACAGGCAUCACAUUGAAUGAAGAGGACCUGAAUCCUGCCUUUGGUUCAAACACUGACACUGUUUUGAGAAGAUUCUGUACUUCUGUUUUCUCUCCUUUGCCAUAUCCAUUUCUUUGGUGAAUUUUUCUUACUCUGUAUUUGAAUACCCCACAGAGAGUUCUAGUUGACUUCUAGCUGUAAUAAUAAAUAGAAAGAAUAAACAAAAUGUUUAUACAAACUUACCCUUUCAGAUAUCUAGUCUAGUGUUUUAUAUUGGAUACUAAUUCAGAAUGCAGCUUCAUGAGAGGUCAAGCAAGCCUAAAUGUCAGUGCACCCUUUGCUCUGGCACAUUUGCUUAUCUUGGCUCUCUGACGUGUCAAUUCACUUGCAAUGCCAGCAGAAGACUAACCUUAAAAAAAAAAAAAAAGAAAAAAAAGAAAAAGAAUAAUUUCCUGCAAGCUCAGUCAGUUGAAUUGAUUCAUUGGAAGGCCAAUUGAAUGCUGGAGCUGCUGCAAAGGGAAAGAGAUAGAAGUGGGGAACUGUUGUAGCUCAUUUUAAAUCACUUUAUGCUGCUCUAGAAUUAUUUCUGAUUCACCAAGAAAAGUAAACAAUUUAGAAUGCUUCAUAGAAAAUUAGUGUCGGCCAUGUUAAUAUAUCUUCUGUAAUUUUUUAAAAAUUAUAAUUAUUUGUUAAGUGAUGUUUCCUGGAAUGAGGUGGUUGAGUAUUUACUAGUUUUUUUAACAUCAGCAAUCUAGAAAAAUAUAAUGCUUGUAUGUUUCUCCCUCACCUCUGGUUUCUGAUCACAAAUAGAGUUGGCUGAAACUUUUUUUCCUUCUAUCUUGUAAAGAAAGAAAAAAACCAGAAAAUUAUUUCUUCUUAUCACUUACUUUUGGUGAGUUUUACUUUGGUGUUCUAUGAAAACAAUAGCAGCAAAAAAACUAAGAAAAAGGUGGAUUCACUAUUUAGCAGGGUAGUGAACCUAGUGACACAGGACAUAGAAAAGGCCAAGGUACUCUAUGCCUCCUUGCAGAAAAGAAGGCUACAGCAUCCUCGGCUGCAUUUGCAAGAGUGUGGCAAGCAGGCCAAAGGAUAAAUUCCUGCUCACCGUGAUUUUUACUGUCCAAACAGACGCACAAAUAAGCACGCAAACAGACACAUGAGCCUUUCUGUAAUGGGAGGAGUUUCUUCAUAUCUGAGAAACAGCUGGAAAUCUUCUGUAGGACUAAGACCACAGACUGCUGACAGAAAGGGUCAGCUGAAGAAAAAAGAGGGGCAAAAGAGCUGUAAAGGCAAUGACAAAAAGUGAAGUACCAAGAUGUCCCUUUAUCUCACUGGUCAGUAAACUUGAUAUUUGAACAGUGCAAAGGAUGCAAAAUUUUGGUGUUUGUAUAGACAAGAAUCAAGAGCAGACCAAUACAAAGCAACUGAAAACAGUUCAUCAGAAACAGAAUAUAUUUGUGACAACCAAUAUCCCACCUUUUUUGGAGACAGAAAUGUACGUGGCCAGCAGAAAGCUAUGAAACAUGUCCAUAGCUGACCUCAGUGGAGAGAAGAACUAACGUCAUUUAGGCGUGAAGACUAACCAAGAGGGGAGCACACAUGUAGUGAACAUCACUGGUAAAAUUUUAAAUGUUGCUACUUUUGGUACCUGAGUUCACAAAGAUGGUAGUAACACCAACUUAAAUAUAUAAUUGAGCUUUAUGAAAGUUUCACUCCAUGGGAGUAUGUAACUUGCAUUACUUUUCUAUUAUGGCAGACUUCCCUAGUGGAGGGAUAUUUUAACAGUACAUUUUAAAU